AGGGUGUAGCGUUUAAAACAUCGGUCUCCAAAACCGCAGUUGGGAGUUCGAGUCUCUCUGCCCCUG
rnacentral:tRNA from 2 species